CGCCAGACUCCUACGGGAGGCAGCAGUGGGGAAUAUUGCACAAUGGGGGAAACCCUGAUGCAGCGACGCCGCGUGAGUGAAGAAGUAUUUCGGUAUGUAAAGCUCUAUCAGCAGGGAAGAAAAUGACGGUACCUGACUAAGAAGCCCCGGCUAACUACGUGCCAGCAGCCGCGGUAAUACGUAGGGGGCAAGCGUUAUCCGGAUUUACUGGGUGUAAAGGGAGCGUAGACGGCAGCGCAAGUCUGGAGUGAAAUGCCGGGGCCCAACCCCGGAACUGCUCUGGAAACUGUGAAGCUGGAGUGCAGGAGAGGUAAGCGGAAUUCCUGGUGUAGCGGUGAAAUGCGUAGAUAUCAGGAGGAACACCGGCGGCGAAGGCGGCUUACUGGACUGUAACUGACGUUGAGGCUCGAAGGCGUGGGGAGCAAACAGGAUUAGAUACCCCAGUAAU
rnacentral:rRNA from 1 species